rnacentral:rRNA from 1 species
GAUGAACGCUGGCGGCGUGCCUAAUACAUGCAAGUCGAACGGGGAGUCCCUAUUCGCGUUGUGGCGGACGGGUGAGUAACGCGUUGGUACCUGGCUGGACUGGGGUGAUAACGGGCCGAAGGAUCCGCCAAUACCUCAUGUACUCGGUAAUGGCUAAAGGUGGAGACCACGUUGGGAGGGGCUUGCGUCCCAUCAGGUGGUUGGUAGGGUAAAGCCUGUCGAAGGCGUGGACGGGUAGGGGGACGGAGAGGGGGGCCCCCCACAAUGGAACGGGACCACGCUCCAUACACCUACGGGUGGAGGCGGUAGGGAAUAUUGGGAAUGGGCGCAAGCCUGACCCAGCAACGCCGCGUGUGAGAGGACGGCCUUCGGGGUGUAAAGCCCUUUUGACGGGGACGAGGAAGGACGGUACCGGUCGAAGAAGCCCCGGCUAACUACGUG